CCGCGCGAGCUCUAUAUAAAGCAAGCAAACCAACCCCUUCCUACACUACCACACACGCCUCUCGCGCUGCCCAAAUCGCCUAUAUCUCUCUCUCCCACACUGCUCAAGCAGCUAGCACAGCACACUCGAUCGAUCACGCCAUUUCUUCGAUCCUACCAGGCGUCGGCUGCCAUGGCGAGAAUGCUCCUUGAGGCGGCCUCCGGCUCGGUGGAGGACUCCCUCAACUCGGACCUGAUCGUCAUCCUCGCCGGCUUGCUCUGCGCGCUCGUCUGCGUCCUCGGCCUCGGCCUCGUCGCCCGGUGCGCGUGCUCGCGGCGCUGGGCACGGGGCGCCGGG
rnacentral:lncRNA from 1 species